rnacentral:rRNA from 1 species
AACGAACGCUGCCGGCAUGCCUAACACAUGCAAGCAGAACGAGACUUUCGGGCAUAAUGGCCUACGGGUGCGUAACGCCUUGGCACCUGCCCUCAUGUUCGGCACAACUCCCCGAAAGCGGUGCUAAUACCGGCUAAUGUCAUCGGACCAAAUGUUUGUCGCCUUCGGAUGGGCCCGCGUUGGAUUAUCUAGUUGGUAGGGAAAAAGCCUACCAAGGCGCCGAUCCAUAGCUGGUCGGAGAGGAUGAUCAGCCACACUGGGACUGAGACACGGCCCAGACUCCUGCGGGAGGCAGCAGUGGGGAAUAUUGGACAAUGGGCGAAAGCCUGAUCCAGCAAUGCCGCGUGAGUGAUGAAGGCCUUAGGGUUGUAAAGCUCUUUUACCCGGGAUGAUAAUGACAGUACCGGGAGAAUAAGCCCCGGCUAACUCCGUG